rnacentral:rRNA from 1 species
CGGGCGAUGUGUACAUAUUAAUGGUAGUUUUCAAAUAAACAUAAUAAUUAAAUUUUACUAACAAAUUCUAUUUUUAAAAAUAUUUCAAUUUUUAUAAAUUUUUAAUAAUGUAAUUCAUUUCAACUAAAUUAAAUUGCACCUUGACCUGAUAUUUUAAGAAAAUUAUUGUAAUUUUUUUAAUAAUUACUUACGGUGGUAUACAAAUAUAAAUUAAGUAAGAUUUAUCGUGUAUUUUCGAUUAAGAAACAAAUUCCUUUGUAAAAGUUAAUACCGUCAAAUUUACUAUUUUAUUUUUUCUUGAAAUAUUAUAUACUAAAAUAGAAUAAUA